rnacentral:rRNA from 1 species
CAACCUGCCUCAUACUCGGGGAUAGCCUUUCGAAAGAAAGAUUAAUAUCCGAUAGCAUAUAUUUCCCGCAUGGGUUUUAUAUUAAAGAAAUUCGGUAUGAGAUGGGGAUGCGUUCCAUUAGUUUGUUGGGGGGGUAACGGCCCACCAAGACUACGAUGGAUAGGGGUUCUGAGAGGAAGGUCCCCCACAUUGGAACUGAGACACGGUCCAAACUCCUACGGGAGGCAGCAGUGAGGAAUAUUGGUCAAUGGACGCGAGUCUGAACCAGCCAAGUAGCGUGAAGGAUGACUGCCCUAUGGGUUGUAAACUUCUUUUAUAUGGGAAUAAAGUUGUCCACGUGUGGAUUUUUGUAUGUACCAUAUGAAUAAGGAUCGGCUAACUCCGUGCCAGCAGCCGCGGUAAUACGGAGGAUCCGAGCGUUAUCCGGAUUUAUUGGGUUUAAAGGGAGCGUAGAUGGAUGUUUAAGUCAGUUGUGAAAGUUUGCGGCUCAACCGUAAAAUUGCAGUUGAUACUGGAUAUCUUGAGUGCAGUUGAGGCAGGCGGAAUUCGUGGUGUAGCGGUGAAAUGCUUAGAUAUCACGAAGAACUCCGAUUG